UACGGGGGGGGCAAGCGUUGCUCGGAAUCACUGGGCGUAAAGCGCACGUAGGCGGCUUCUCAAGUCAGGGGUGAAAUCCUGGAGCUCAACUCCAGAACUGCCUUUGAUACUGAGGGGCUCGAGUCCGGGAGAGGUGAGUGGAACUGCGAGUGUAGAGGUGAAAUUCGUAGAUAUUCGCAAGAACACCAGUGGCGAAGGCGGCUCACUGGCCCGGUACUGACGCUGAGGUGCGAAAGCGUGGGGAGCAAACAGG
rnacentral:rRNA from 1 species